rnacentral:rRNA from 1 species
GACGAACGCUGGCGGCGUGGAUAAGACAUGCAAGUCGAACGGGAUUUUUUCCUGUAGCAAUACAGGAAAAAGUCUAGUGGCGAACGGGUGCGUAACACGUGAGCAACCUGCCGUGAAGUGGGGGAUAGCUCGCCGAAAGGCGAAUUAAUACCGCAUGUGGCCAAGGAAGACAUCUUCCUGACGCCAAAGCCGGGGCAACCUGGCGCUUCUCGAGGGGCUCGCGGCCUAUCAGCUUGUUGGUGAGGUAACGGCUCACCAAGGCUAUGACGGGUAGCUGGUCUGAGAGGACGACCGGCCACACGGGAACGGAGACACGGUCCAGACACCUACGGGUGGCAGCAGUCGAGAGUUUUUCACAAUGGGGGAAACCCUGAUGGAGCGAAGCCGCGUGGAGGAUGAAGGUUUUCGGAUUGUAAACUCCUGUCAUUAGAGGACAAGGCACACGGUUUAACUGGCCGUGUGUUGAUAGUAUCUGAAGAGGAAGAGACGGCUAACUCUGUGCCAGCCGCCGCAGUAA